UUUUUAAAUUUUUUGACAGUAAGUUUGUUGUCAACUGCAAGAAACUAAGAACUAAGAAUGUUACAUAACACCGCAUAACACCAGAACACGGGCUGGCAGCCGGGCAUAAGCCCUGACCCUGUGGUACCCUCUUGUGACUUGUGAGUGUAAUGCACUACAAGGAGAACCCCAAUUAAAAUUCAUGAGCUGAACUUAUUGAUAGAAACUAUGGAAGAUUGCUGAAAUUUUAGAUUGAUAAAUUGGCAAUUAAUUAAUUAUCACCGCCAGGUUACUGUUUACGUCAUAAAUUUGCUUGGCUUCUCAGGGAAGUUCGUCUGCAUUAAAAAUGGCGUCGGCCAUGUAAGUUCGUAAGCUAGCCCGUGAGGUUGUUGCUGCCAAGUGCCUGCCAGUUUAACAGUGUAAUAAAGCUUGACAUUGACAUCAUAGGAAGUUUACCGACUGGCAUCAUCACUUCAUCACCUGAGCUGAUUCCACCGAGGUUAAAAAAGGAAUACCAAAUUCAUCAAAAUGGAGGCAGAAGAUUGUAUUUAUGGAUCGUGGAAAUUACCAGUUUUCACUACAAGUCCCUUCCCAGUUUUCACAACUUCAGCUGCAGAAAAUCAGCUUUACGGCAUAAGUUGGGAAUGAGUGCAAUAGGUUCCCUUGGUACUUCUGAAGCAGUUGAUGAUAGUGUUAAUGAAGUAAGUGUUAUACUCCAUUCUCAUAAAAAAAACGUGCAGAAACUUCCAAACAGCAAACAGGUGCUGCUAUUUUAGUCCUUGUCUAAAUGUGUAGAUGAAAACAGUUUGUGGCAUUUAUCAGAGAAUAAAAUGGCAACAACCAAGAUUGUAUUUUAUUGGUUAUCUUAUCAUCACAGA